UGACAGAGCUAGAUGGUGCAGCAUCGCUC
rnacentral:piRNA from 1 species